UACGUAGGGGGCUAGCGUUGUCCGGAUUUAUUGGGCGUAAAGAGCGUGUAGGCGGCCAUUUAGGUCCGGUGUGAAAACUCGAGGCUUAACCUCGAGAUGUCAUCGGAAACCAUUUGGCUAGAGUCCGGAAGAGGAGAGUGGAAUUCCUGGUGUAGCGGUGAAAUGCGCAGAUAUCAGGAAGAACACCAAUGGCGAAAGUAGCUCUCUGGGACGGUACUGACGCUGAGACGCGAAAGCGUGGGGAGCGAACAGG
rnacentral:rRNA from 1 species